UACGUAGGGUGCAAGCGUUAAUCGGAAUUACUGGGCGUAAAGCGUGCGCAGGCGGUUAUGCAAGACAGGCGUGAAAUCCCCGGGCUUAACCUGGGAACUGCAUUUGUGACUGCAUAGCUAGAGUACGGUAGAGGGGGAUGGAAUUCCGCGUGUAGCAGUGAAAUGCGUAGAUAUGCGGAGGAACACCGAUGGCGAAGGCGAUCCCCUGGACCUGUACUGACGCUCAUGCACGAAAGCGUGGGGAGCAAACAGG
rnacentral:rRNA from 1 species